CACACGCCAGCUUCAACCGAGGCCCUGAAACAUUUAGGGUCGCUUCACUGACUCUUCUACAAGACAUCGUCUCAGGGUGUGGAGGAAGGCGCCUUUGCAAGCAACAGGAUUAAAAGUCAUCGAGAAGAUGCCUGGAAGGGUAGCUUGCCCUGCCACAGGGCCCGGGGAGCUGUUCACAGCCACGUGAGUGACAACUGCAAGUCUCUGAGAGCUCCUGGGGGGAGACACACAGCAGAAAGCGCACAGCUUGAUUUGCAGAUGCCAAUUUGAGCUUGCAGCCUGGAAACUGCUAUGGAAAGGAAAAACUCACCUGUAGACAGGAUUUGGGGUCGCGUCAAGCAGCCAGGUGUCUUCUCAAGGAAAAAAGGACUGACAGCUGGAGCAUUCUCCUUCAGAAAUUCCCAGCAGCGCUAAUGAGGAGCAAUAAAAAUAAGCAAGCACUAUCAACUUCGGAGAAUAGGAAAAAUCCUGCUGUGGAUAUUCUCAUCUUUUUUAAGUCUGAGGGUGGAAAUGAGAACAUAAUCACCCAUGAUGAGCUGGCUGAGCAAAGUUGGGCCAAGCCAUCAAAUGCAGCUGUUGGCUUUCCACGGGAAUCAUCUCUCUUGCCUCCCAGUACACUUCAGGAGGAGCAAAAAGGUCACUUUCCCUGAAGAGGAACCACCUUUAAGAAUCAGACCACCUUCAUCUUUAAAUAUUUGAAGAACAUUUCAUUAAGGCCCUACCAAAGGGAACUCUUUGCUCUUGAGGCCUCAGCUGCACUGUUGAAUAAUUAAUUUGACCACGACCUCACCAUCCUCAAUUCUAGAAGCUAACUCCAGAGUGAAGCUGUGCCCCUGCCGCUCCAUAUCCACCCCCUUGCCACAGCUGCCCCUCCUCAUGCCACUCUUCCCUUCCUGGGGAUGGAACUUGAGACACAUCCUUACACUUCCCCUGCAGUAGCCCAAGUCUAGCAGAGGGACUUGGCUGAGAAGCCUGUCCCAGGAACUGAUCAAGUGGCUCCAUCUGGCUCACAAGAUGCAGGGUAUGCCAGGCCACAGAGGCAGAAGGCUCAAGAGGAGAUUAUAUUUUUAGCCUACACUGUGGUUAAGAAUUCAGAUGCUAUGUUUCCAUACAGGUAAAAUUGCUGUUCUCCACAGCACUCCAAAUCUACACGCCUUGGAGAGCCCGUUUCCAUCCCUUCAGAAAGCAUCAAGAGGAGAGGAGGAAGCUUUUGGAGCUUUUAAGCCUCACUCCUCCCUCUGCCUCUUGUGCCUCACAUCUGGACAAGCAGAAAUCCUGGAUAUUCCUUCCUUUGGUGCCAGCAGGGGAUUCAAACCACAAAGCUCCAGCCAUUUCGGAAUUCUCACCUCAGCCCCACCUCCUCACCACGGUAAAAAUCCAGGCCAGUCUCCUUUCCUUCCCUCUCAAGCCAUUUCAGACCUGCUUCAGAGGAAUGCCCUACUCUCCCAGAGACCUCAGUUGUUCUAUGCAUCCAAAACGAGAGCAAAGAACACAACUGUUAUUAUCU
rnacentral:lncRNA from 1 species